AAACGUGUAAUUAAAACGUGUAAAAAUGCUGGACAAAAUAUCCACAAUAUUGUCUUUCUUCGAGUGAACUUCAUCAAAGAAAUUCCAUGGAAGUUUUCCCCUUGUUAAAAAGUUGGCGUAGGAGGGUUCCUUUUUUGUGCUCUGCAAGCGUUCGUGCGAGUCAGUUGUUCUGAUUCAGCGCUGGUUGCAAUUUUUACGUGAAAAACAACCAUCUCGCCCAGGAAACAUCUCCCAAAGCAUGGCUGCUGCAGUUUGCUAAAGAUAUUGAGGAGAAGCCCCAGGCGGAAGUUGCUUCAGUUCAUCGUAUAUUCGCAUCACCCUCACAUCCCGGAAUGUGCGUUCCCUGGAGAAGGUGUGUGGUGACCUGGUGACUGGGGCGCCAAGAAGCAGAAGCUCCGUGUUGAGGUCUCGUGUAAUCUUCUGCUUAAUUCCGGGGGAUUGUGGGGGGAGGAGGAAUUGCCGGAGUAUCGUGUGCUGAGACAAUUGCCUUUCUCUGUCCAGAAGAGAAAAUAAUCCUCGUAACAGAGUCUCGACUCAUUCUGCACAGGAGCUCGUCCCAAUUUAAUAGAAGAGCACCCCCAUGUAAUUGGGAUUCGUGACACAGAAUCAGUGCAGGAAUUUCAGAGAAGGAUCACGGAUAGUAAGAGAAUUGUUUUCGUGGGAAAUGGUGGAAUUGCCAGUGAGAUUGCCUACGCAGUGAAAGCUGUUACAAUUGAUUGGGUAGUCAGGGAUAAUCAAUCUCAUUUCCUCCACAUUCCUUGAUCCAGGAGCUGCUGAAUUCUUCAAGAAGAAUCUGCAGGGAAAAGGCUCCAGUAUGGUGAAACGCAGGGAACUAAUGGAGCAGCCUUGGGUCCCGAUUGGCAUUGAAUGCCCGAUGUUUCCGGAAGUGGACGCAAUCUCCCGGAUUCCGUCAACAUUCACUAACUCUUGAGUGCGACUUUGUCGUUUCAGCAAGUGGUGUCAAUCCCAGAAUUGAUUACACGGUAGAUUCACCACUGGAGCGUGCCACAGACGGUGGGAUUUCAGUCAAUGAACUCAUGCGAACAUCCCUGGUGGAUAUUUAUGCGGCUGGGGAUUGCUGUACGGCCACAUGGAAGCCAGCAGGGAAUUGGUUUGGCUCCCAAAAAGAGUUAAAAUGGCUCUUUUCAGAGCCCACAAAAUUAAUUUUUUUAAAGAGUUAAAAAAUGAAUAAUUAAAAUAUUUUUUUAAGUACAAAAGAAUUUAUUGAAUUAAAAUUUAUUAAAUAAAA